rnacentral:rRNA from 1 species
GUGAAGCCCUUCGGGGUGGAUCAGUGGCGAACGGGUGAGUAACACGUGGGCAAUCUGCCCUGCACUCUGGGACAAGCCCUGGAAACGGGGUCUAAUACCGGAUAUGACCUUCCUCUGCAUGGGGGUUGGUGGAAAGCUCCGGCGGUGCAGGAUGAGCCCGCGGCCUAUCAGCUUGUUGGUGGGGUAAUGGCCUACCAAGGCGACGACGGGUAGCCGGCCUGAGAGGGCGACCGGCCACACUGGGACUGAGACACGGCCCAGACUCCUACGGGAGGCAGCAGUGGGGAAUAUUGCACAAUGGGCGCAAGCCUGAUGCAGCGACGCCGCGUGAGGGAUGACGGCCUUCGGGUUGUAAACCUCUUUCAGCAGGGAAGAAGCGCAAGUGACGGUACCUGCAGAAGAAGCACCGGCUAACUACGUGCCAGCAGCCGCGGUAAUACGUAGGGUGCGAGCGUUGUCCGGAAUUAUUGGGCGUAAAGAGCUCGUAGGCGGCCUGUCGCGUCGGAUGUGAAAGCCCGGGGCUUAACCCCGGGUCUGCAUUCGAUACGGGCAGGCUAGAGUGUGGUAGGGGAGAUCGGAAUUCCUGGUGUAGCGGUGAAAUGCGCAGAUAUCAGG